AAAUUAGAGAUGAUGCCUUACAUGGUGAUGAGAGUGAGUCCUGGUAGCCAAGGAUGACUUGCCUGUAUAUUUAUAUAUAUAUGUGUGUGUGAUCAAUGGAUGGAUUGAUCAAGCUGCUUGCAGGCUCAUGCAUAUAUAUGUACAGGCAGUCUCCUUGGCUAGCCCGGCUACCUCUUAUCCUCCAUGCUAGGCAUCAGUCUCUUAAUCUGA
rnacentral:misc_RNA from 1 species